CAUGCAAGUCGAACGAGAGAUGAGGAGCUUGCUCUUCAAAUCGAGUGGCGAACGGGUGAGUAACGCGUGAGGAACCUGCCUCAAAGAGGGGGACAACAGUUGGAAACGACUGCUAAUACCGCAUAAGCCCACGGCUCGGCAUCGAGCAGAGGGAAAAGGAGCAAUCCGCUUUGAGAUGGCCUCGCGUCCGAUUAGCUAGUUGGUGAGGUAACGGCCCACCAAGGCGACGAUCGGUAGCCGGACUGAGAGGUUGAACGGCCACAUUGGGACUGAGACACGGCCCAGACUCCUACGGGAGGCAGCAGUGGGGAAUAUUGCACAAUGGGGGAAACCCUGAUGCAGCGACGCCGCGUGGAGGAAGAAGGUCUUCGGAUUGUAAACUCCUGUUGUUGAGGAAGAUAAUGACGGUACUCAACAAGGAAGUGACGGCUAACUACGUGCCAGCAGCCGCGGUAAAACGUAGGUCACAAGCGUUGUCCGGAAUUACUGGGUGUAAAGGGAGCGCAGGCGGGAGAACAAGUUGGAAGUGAAAUCCAUGGGCUCAACCCAUGAACUGCUUUCAAAACUGUUUUUCUUGAGUAGUGCAGAGGUAGGCGGAAUUCCCGGUGUAGCGGUGGAAUGCGUAGAUAUCGGGAGGAACACCAGUGGCGAAGGCGGCCUACUGGGCACCAACUGACGCUGAGGCUCGAAAGUGUGGGUAGCAAACAGGAUUAGAUACCCUGGUAGUCCACACCGUAAACGAUGAUUACUAGGUGUUGGAGGAUUGACCCCUUCAGUGCCGCAGUUAACACAAUAAGUAAUCCACCUGGGG
rnacentral:rRNA from 1 species